CCUUUGACGUUAGCGGCGGACGGGUGAGUAAAACGUGGGUAACCUACCUAUAAGACUGGGAUAACUUCGGGAAACCGGAGCUAAUACCGGAUAAUAUUUCGAACCGCAUGGUUCGAUAGUGAAAGAUGGUUUUGCUAUCACUUAUAGAUGGACCCGAGCCGUAUUAGCUAGUUGGUAAGGUAACGGCUUACCAAGGCGACGAUACGUAGCCGACCUGAGAGGGUGAUCGGCCACACUGGAACUGAGACACGGUCCAGACUCCUACGGGAGGCAGCAGAC
rnacentral:rRNA from 1 species